rnacentral:rRNA from 1 species
AGCUCCAAUAGCGUAUAUUAAAGUUGUUGCAGUUAAAAAGCUCGUAGUUGAAUUUCUGAUAGAAGGGAGCGGUUCCGCAUUCUUGCGGAUACUGGCUCGUCUUCCGUCAUCCUUGGGCUUAGUCUCGCUGAUAUUAACUUAUCGGCGUGUAACAUGCCCAUCGUUUACUGUGAGCAAAUUAGAGUGUUCAAAGCAGGCAUUUUGCCAUUGAAUAUAUUAGCAUGGAAUAAUAAGAUAGGAUUUCACGAUUUUAUUUUGUUGGUUUGCGUUGUGAAAUAAUGAUUAAGAGGGACAGUUGUGGGUAUUCGUAUUCAGAUGUCAGAGGUGAAAUUCUUAGAUUAUCGGAAGACGAACGACUGCGAAAGCAUUUACCAAGGAUGUUUUCA